AGUUGAUGACUUCCGGCGUAAAGAGUGGUUAAGAAAUAAUUAAGACUAAAGCUAAACGACCUCAAAGCUGUUAUACGCACAUGAAAGUAUGAAGCCCAACUACGAAAGUGACUUUAAAAUUCUGACCCCACGAAAGCUAGGGCACAAACUGGGAUUAGAUACCCCACUAUGCCUAGCCCUAAACAUCGAUACUAACGUACCUAUUUUAUCCGCCAGGGUACUACGAGCAUCAGCUUAAAACCCAAAGGACUUGGCGGUGCUUUAGAUCCACCUAGAGGAGCCUGUUCUAGAACCGAUAAUCCCCGUUAAACCUCACCUUUUCUUGCCAUAUCCGCCUAUAUACCGCCGUCGUCAGCUUACUCUGUGAGGAGCUUGUAGUAAGCACAACCGGCACAGCCCAAAACGUCAGGUCGAGGUGUAGCGAAUGGAAAGGGAAGAAAUGGGCUACAUUCAAUAUUUUUAAUGAAUACGGAUGAUGCCUUGAAAAAGGCAUCUGAAGGAGGAUUUAGCAGUAAGCAGGGAAUAGAGUGCCCUGCUGAAAUUGGCCCUGAAGCGCGUACACACCGCCCGUCACUCUCCCCGAGCUAAUAAACACUAAUUACUAAUAAGCGAAACCUGCAA
rnacentral:rRNA from 1 species